AGGACUCUACCAAGAUUAGGGAUCUCAUGGGAGCAUUUUGGGAUAAGCUGUCUGUGGAUGAGGCUAAGGAUGUUAUAUCAUUUGAUACUGUGAUGUUGGAGGGAGUUCCUGGAUCUGCAGUUGUA